rnacentral:rRNA from 1 species
CGCGCAGGUGGUUUCUUAAGUCUGAUGUGAAAGCCCACGGCUCAACCGUGGAGGGUCAUUGGAAACUGGGAGACUUAAGUGCAGAAGAGGAUAGUGGAAUUCCAAGUGUAGCGGUGAAAUGCGUAGAGAUUUGGAGGAACACCAGUGGCGAAGGCGACUGUCUGGUCUGUAACUGACACUGAGGCGCGAAAGCGUGGGGAGCAAACA